GCCCUCCCUAAUGUGGGUGUGUCUCAUCCAGUAGAACAAAAAGGCUGAGUAAGAAAUAAUUUCUUCUGCCUGACUGCCUUCAAGCUGGGACAUUGGUCUUUUCCUGCCUUCAACUCAAAUGGAAACAUUGGCUCCUUUUGGGUCUUGAGCCUGAUGACUUUCAGAAUAAAACUUCAACUAUUGCCUCUGCUGGUUCUCAGGACUUCAAACUUGGAAAGGAUUUAUACCAUCGGCUCUUUGGGUUUCCAGCUUGCUGAUCACAGAUCUUGGGACUUGUUAGCCUUCAUAAUCAUUGGCCUGGGCACACAGUGAAGCAGAAGAAGAAAAAGAAGGGGAGCACCAAUAUAUGUCAGACACUGUGGUGGGAACUUUACCUAUGUUGUCUCUCUUAAUACCAACAAGGCAGCAAGG
rnacentral:lncRNA from 1 species